GGAUGGCAGCGGUAUCCUUUUGUGGAAAACUAAAUUUUUUCGGUGUAAACCGAUAAGCCUAUCGCAAAAGAUUUAGCGGACAGCC
rnacentral:sRNA from 1 species